rnacentral:lncRNA from 1 species
CAGCCAUUGAUCUUAAUCCUUCUAUAAAUAGAGGUAAGCGAGGAUCUCUCCAGAUAAGCAAUACAUGCUCCAAUGCUGAGACUCUGCUUCUCCUUGUAUUGAGUUUCAUUCAUGAUUUGAAUAUCGGAGGAUCCUCGUCAGAAUAACUUUCAGCCAGAACUUUCCUUGUAGGUCUCAUUCCCAAUGGCCUGGUGCUCCACCAAGCUCUGGUAGCUCCGACGUGA